UACGUAGGGGGCUAGCGUUGUCCGGAUUUAUUGGGCGUAAAGAGCGUGUAGGCGGCCAUGUAGGUCCGGUGUGAAAACUCGAGGCUUAACCUCGAGAUGUCAUCGGAAACCAUUUGGCUAGAGUCCGGAAGAGGAGAGUGGAAUCCUGGUGUAGCGGUGAAAAUGCGCAGAUAUCAGGAGGAACACCGGUGGCGAAGGCGGGUCUCUGGGCCGAGUACUGACGCUGGAGGAGCGAAAGCGUGGGGAGCGA
rnacentral:rRNA from 1 species